ensembl:lncRNA
AACAAGCAUACUUGCACACUGGCACAGUGGUCCUGGGGAAAGUGGCACAGACUUCCACUGUAUUCUUUAGACGACCCAGCAAUACCACUCUCUAAUGGGGCCUCCCAGAUGGCUCAGUGGUAAAGAAUCAACCUACCAAUGCAGGAGAUGCAGGUUUGAUCCCUGGAUCAGGAAGAUCCCCUGGAGAAAGAAAUGGCAACCCACUCCAGUAUUCUUGCCUGGGAAAUCCCAUGGACAGAGGAGCCUGGUGGGCUACAGUGCAUGGGGUCACAGAGUUGGACACGACUUAGCGACUUAACAUUUUUACUGACACCCAGAGUUCUUUGUGCGGGCGUGGAUCUACCUACCUGCUAUCAAGGAAUCUAAAGGCAGAAAACUGCGUUUUACACAAAGCCCUUAACAGACUAAAGCAAAACAAAAACAAAAACAAAAAGAGAGAGAGACUGGCUGAAUAUUCAUACCUUUAUGAAGGCGGUGUGAAGGAAGGAACUUCACGGUCGGUCUGGCUUUGCAAGCAAGUCCAGAUUCCCUAGGCUCAGAGAGCUCCUCAUUCUUUCUGCCUUUCAGCUUUGCCUCUCAAAUUCUGGGGCAGUAUGGGAAACUCUAUGUAAGCAUAUGGUCUCUCGACUUUCAUAUUCCCGGAUGCUUUCGGCACCAAAGGCAUCUAUAUUAUCUCUGGACUCUAGGUCGUGUCCUUAGGUGAAGAGAAAGGGUGCGAGCGGACAGUCCCCAGUUUAAUCUCCAUCGCUGAGAAAGAGAACACUGAGGACCCCCAGACACCUCCCUCGGGUCCGCGCCCUGCUUCUCAACUCUAACUCGGGGGCCCAAAUUUGGAGUGACGGACCCUCCUUCACCCCCAACCCGGACUCUCAAGUGCACAGACUUCACAUCUGCUCUCAGC